ACCAAAAAAGAACUAUAAAUUCAAAUUUCUAAGUGGUACAUUAAGAUGAAAAUUAUCCGCUUGAACUGAAGCACUGUCAACAGAGCUAGAUUGUUCUCGGGAUCUAUCAUUUAUCAUUCCAGCUGCUUCAUCAUGGCUUUCUAAAGGUUGUAUAGCCUGUGCUGAGCCAAAAUCUGUUAAUUUCCUCAGCUCUGUGGUAGAAAGGUUGCCAUAUUCUGCAUCGAGAACUUGCUCACUUUUACCAAUUGUUUCUUGAUCAAGAAUACCACUAGCCUUCUCUACCUAUCAAAUAAAAAUAUUCAGUAUCACAGGAAGGGAAAAUUUAAACCAAUGCACAGGAGACUUCACCAAAAAAGAACUAUAAAUUCAAAUUUCUAAGUGGUACAUUAAGAUGAAAAUUAUCCGCUUGAACUGAAGCACUGUCAACAGAGCUAGAUUGUUCUCGGGAUCUAUCAUUUAUCAUUCCAGCUGCUUCAUCAUGGCUUUCUAAAGGUUGUAUAGCCUGUGCUGAGCCAAAAUCUGUUAAUUUCCUCAGCUCUGUGGUAGAAAGGUUGCCAUAUUCGGCAUCGAGAACUUGCUCACUUUUACCAAUUGUUUCUAGAUAGGAAAUACCAUCAACC
rnacentral:lncRNA from 1 species